AGUGAACGCUGGCGGUAGGCCUAACACAUGCAAGUCGAACGGCAGCACAGUAAGAGCUUGCUCUUACGGGUGGCGAGUGGCGGACGGGUGAGGAAUACAUCGGAAUCUACUUUUUCUUGGGGGAUAACGUAGGGAAACUGACGCUAAUACCGCAUACGACCUACGGGUGAAAUCAGGGGAUCUUCGGACCUUGCGCGAUUGAAUGAGCCGAUGUCGGAUUAGCUAGUUGGCGGGGUAAAGGCCCACCAAGGCGACGAUCCGUAGCUGGUCUGAGAGGAUGAUCAGCCACACUGGAACUGAGACACGGUCCAGACUCCUACGGGAGGCAGCAGUGGGGAAUAUUGGACAAUGGGCGAAAGCCUGAUCCAGCCAUACCGCGUGGGUGAAGAAGGCCUUCGGGUUGUAAAGCCCUUUUGUUGGGAAAGAAAAGCAGCAGGUUAAUACCCCGCUGUUCUGACGGUACCCAAAGAAUAAGCACCGGCUAACUUCGUG
rnacentral:rRNA from 1 species